rnacentral:rRNA from 1 species
UACGUAGGGAGCGAGCGUUGUCCGGAAUUACUGGGCGUAAAGGGUGCGUAGGCGGCCAGGCAAGUCAGAUGUGAAAUCCCCGGGCUUAACUCGGGAGUUGCAUUUGAAACUGCUUGGCUUGAGUGCAGGAGAGGAAAGCGGAAUUCCUAGUGUAGCGGUGAAAUGCGUAGAUAUUAGGAGGAACACCAGUGGCGAAGGCGGCUUUCUGGACUGUAACUGACGCUGAGGCACGAAAGCGUGGGGAG